UUGAUGAGUUUGAAAUGUCCUUUC
rnacentral:piRNA from 1 species